rnacentral:rRNA from 1 species
GUUUCAACAACGGAUCUCUUGGCUCUCGCAUCGAUGAAGAACGCAGCGAAAUGCGAUAAGUAAUGUGAAUUGCAGAAUUCAGUGAAUCAUCGAAUCUUUGAACGCACCUUGCGCUCCUUGGUAUUCCUUGGAGCAUGCCUGUUUGAGUAUCAUGAAAU